ACAUACAAAUGUAAUAAAAAUUAUUGUUCGCGAAUAUUCAAUUUGGAAUGCGAUUUUGUUAAUAAAAAAAAUACUUAUAACUUAUGCAAAACCCAAGAGAGGCAUUUAUAUUUAUUUCUUUUGCGUUCAUUUUCAAAUUCGCCGUGCAUAUAUUUUUGUGCAUGGCGCUUGAGAGGGCAUCACGUGACUAAAAACGACCAACCAACGACCUCGCUUCGGCCAUCUUGGCAUCUUCAUCUUGGCCACCUUGCUUUGCGGUGGGUGGAUCGUUGUUUCUAUUAUUUGUGCUUUUUAAGAAUAUUUUUUUAAUUCGGAUACUUUUAUAAUAGCUUUAAUAGUAUUAUUAACAUAGUGAAUAAAAUGGUGUCCUGUUUUUAACGCAGUUGGAGUAGCAGAAACAAAUGUAGAUAAAAAAAUCUGCAGGAAUAACGUUUCAAUUAUGACAGAAGCUCCAAACAAAUGACUGUGAAUGAAAAGCCCUAUUAAAAGCUUUCCAGAAGAUCCUGCGAAGAAGACAUGAAGUAUAGAUCAGAUUUGUUAAUAGAGGAGUAUGUUCAAAACACUUUUUAGAAAAAGAUAUUGACAGAACUUCACUUUCAUCUGUUCGUUUAAGAGACUGUGCUGUUCCAAUAGCUUAUGUCACACAGAAUCAGCUGAGAGAAGUGGUCUACAAAAAAACAGAAAGGAAACGGAAUAUGUGGCUACGAAAAGCAAAAGAAAGGUUUACAAAGCAAAUGUGACACAUUUUUUUAUAAUAUUUAGGAAUGUCAGUAAAUUACAUUAAAAAAUGUAUGUAAAGAUUUUUUGCAAUAAAAAUGUUUAUAUUUA
rnacentral:lncRNA from 1 species